rnacentral:rRNA from 1 species
GAUGAACGCUGGCGGCGUGCCUAAUACAUGCAAGUCGAGCGAACAGACGAGGAGCUUGCUCCUCUGACGUUAGCGGCGGACGGGUGAGUAACACGUGGAUAACCUACCUAUAAGACUGGGAUAACUUCGGGAAACCGGAGCUAAUACCGGAUAAUAUAUUGAACCGCAUGGUUCAAUAGUGAAAGACGGUUUUGCUGUCACUUAUAGAUGGAUCCGCGCCGCAUUAGCUAGUUGGUAAGGUAACGGCUUACCAUGGCAACGAUGCGUAGCCGACCUGAGAGAGGGAGAGGGGAGACGGAAAAGAAGACACGGGAGAGAGACAAAGGGGAGGGAGCAGAAGGGGAGGGGAAGAAAUGGGAGAAAGCAUGAAGGAGAAAAGUUGGGGGAGUGAGAAAAGUAUGCAAAAAGUAAAACGCGGUUAGGAGGGAAGAACAGAGAGGGAAGGAACGAGGCACGGCGGGACGGUACAGAAGCAGAAGGACAAGGCUAGCUAAAUC